CUUUUUUUUUGACAGGAGAGUGGAACCGGUUCUCGUCUCACAAGCUGCAUCAACAAAACUCAAUCAUGAUUGCUCACAGCACAUGCUCAUGAAUAUAUAAAUAUAAUCACAAGAACUCAAUGUCAAUCACCCCAAACAACUACAGUUACAAUCCUAAUUAAAGGAAAGCUAUGUCGGUCUGUAUACUCCGUAGUUUUUGCAGAUAAUGACAA
rnacentral:lncRNA from 1 species